UACGGAGGAUCCAAGCGUUUAUCCGGAAUCAUUGGGUUUAAAGGGUCCGUAGGCGGUUUGGUAAGUCAGUGGUGAAAGCCUAUCGCUCAACGGUGGAACGGCCAUUGAUACUGCCAGACUUGAAUUAUUAGGAAGUAACUAGAAUAUGUAGUGUAGCGGUGAAAUGCUUAGAGAUUACAUGGAAUACCAAUUGCGAAGGCAGGUUACUACUAAUGGAUUGACGCUGAUGGACGAAAGCGUGGGUAGCGAACAGG
rnacentral:rRNA from 1 species